UCCCUGGUGGACUAGUGGCUAGCAUGCAGCGCUCUCACCGUCGUAGCCCGGGUUCGAUUCAUGGUUAGUAAA